GUGUCAGCCGCCGCGGUAAGACGGAGGGCGCAAGCGUUGUUCGGAAUUACUGGGCGUAAAGCGCGCGCAGGCGGGAAUGUAAGUCGGAAGUGAAAUACCGGGGCUCAACCCCGGCGCUGCUUCCGAGACUGCAUCCCUGGGGACCGGUAGGGGCGGGUAGAAUUCCCGGUGUAGCGGUGGAAUGCGUAGAUAUCGGGAAGAACACCGGUGGCGAAGGCGGCCCGCUGGGCCGGAUCCGACGCUGAGGCGCGAAAGCGUGGGGAGCAAACAGGAUUAGAAACCCGCGUAGUCC
rnacentral:rRNA from 1 species